UACGGGGGGGAGCAAGCGUUGUUCGGAUUUACUGGGCGUAAAGGGCGCGUAGGCGGCGCAACAAGUCACUUGUGAAAUCUCCGGGCUUAACCCGGAGCGGUCAAGUGAUACUGUCGUGCUAGAGUGCGGAAGGGGCUACUGGAAUUCUCGGUGUAGCGGUGAAAUGCGUAGAUAUCGAGAGGGAACACCUGCGGCGAAGGCGGGUAGCUGGGCCGACACUGACGCUGAUGCGCGAAAGCCAGGGGAGCGAACAGG
rnacentral:rRNA from 1 species